CCUACGGGAGGCAGCAGUAGGGAAUCUUCCACAAUGGGCGAAAGCCUGAUGGAGUAACGCCGCGUGGGUGAAGAAGGUCUUCGGAUCGUAAAACCCUGUUGUUAGAGAAGAAAGUGCGUGAGAGUAACUGUUCACGUUUCGACGGUAUCUAACCAGAAAGCCACGGCUAACUACGUGCCAGCAGCCGCGGUAAUACGAAGGUGGCAAGCGUUAUCCGGAUUUAUUGGGCGUAAAGGGCACGCAGGCGGUCUUGUAAGUCUGAUGUGAAAGCCUUCGGCUUAACCGGAGUAGUGCAUUGGAAACUGGGAGACUUGAGUGCAGAAGAGGAGAGUGGAACUCCAGGUGUAGCGGUGAAAUGCGUAGAUAUAUGGAAGAACACCAGUGGCGAAAGCGGCUCUCUGGACUGUAACUGACGCUGAGGUUCGAAAGCGUGGGUAGCAAACAGGAUUAGAUACCCGUGUAGUC
rnacentral:rRNA from 1 species